rnacentral:lncRNA from 1 species
UCACGACAACCAUGCAGAUACUAUUGACUUGCAUAAACAACCUACACUGACAUGGAUCAAGACAUUUAAAACAAACUUUUCAAGCAGUCAAUGGAGUACAAACUGAUUGUGCUGCAAAGAAAAUCGAGCUGUGCAGUUUCUGGUUCAUUCAGCCCCUGGAGGAAUAAAUAUUCUGAAAGUCAGAUUCUGUCCUUAUUUGCAUUCCACUGAUACUCUCUGGUGAGGGUGAGGAAACUAAGGCACACCGUGGUGGUUAGAAAAGAAACAGGUGAGGAUCUACUUUAUAUUCACAUUGCUAUGUUGAUCCUGCAUUGCUACAGGAUCUUAGGGACUGCUGCACUCAUUUAAACCAGUGACCUGAGUGACCAGUGAUAUCCUGAUUUUCUGCGGAGCACCUCAUGUUAGUACUGUUUCACGUUUCAGUCACAUGUAGAGACAGAGG